ACUCCUACGGGAGGCAGCAGUAGGGAAUCUUCCACAAUGGGCGCAAGCCUGAUGGAGCAACACCGCGUGAGUGAAGAAGGGUUUCGGCUCGUAAAGCUCUGUUGUUAAAGAAGAACACGUAUGAGAGUAACUGUUCAUACGUUGACGGUAUUUAACCAGAAAGUCACGGCUAACUACGUGCCAGCAGCCGCGGUAAUACGUAGGUGGCAAGCGUUAUCCGGAUUUAUUGGGGCGUAAAGAGAGUGCAGGCGGUUUUCUAAGUCUGGUGUGAAAGCCUUCGGCUUAACCGGAGAAGUGCAUCGGAAACUGGAUAACUUGAGUGCAGAAGAGGGUAGUGGAACUCCAUGUGUAGCGGUGGAAUGCGUAGAUAUAUGGAAGAACACCAGUGGCGAAGGCGGCUACCUGGUCUGCAACUGACGCUGAGACUCGAAAGCAUGGGUAGCGAACAGGAUUAGAUACCCUGGUAGGAUAGCG
rnacentral:rRNA from 1 species